CCUACGGGAGGCAGCAGUGGGGAAUAUUGCACAAUGGGGGAAACCCUGAUGCAGCGACGCCGCGUGAGGGAAGAAGUCUUUCGGUAUGUAAACUUCUAUCAGCAGGGAAGAAAAUGACGGUACCUGACUAAGAAGCCCCGGCUAACUACGUGCCAGCAGCCGCGGUAAUACGUAGGGUGCAAGCGGUAUCCGGAUGUACUGGGUGUAAAGGGAGCGGAGGCGGUGGUGCAAGUCAGAAGUGAAAGCCCGGGCCUCAACUCCGGGACUGCUGUUGAAACGGUGUUGCUAGAUUGCAGGAGAGGUGAGUUGAAUUCCUAGUGUAGCGGUGAAAUGCGUAGAUAUUAGGAGGAACACCAGUGGCGAAGGCGGCUUACUGGACUGUAAAUGACGCUGAGGCUCGAAAGCGUGGGGAGCAAACAGGAUUAGAUACCCUGGUAGUC
rnacentral:rRNA from 1 species